rnacentral:rRNA from 1 species
CCUACGGGUGGCAGCAGUGAGGAAUAUUGGUCAAUGGUCGUAAGACUGAACCAGCCAAGUAGCGUGAAGGAUGACGGCCCUAUGGGUUGUAAACUUCUUUUAUGCGGGGGUAAAAGGGUCCACGUGUGGGUGUUUGGAGGUAACGCAUGAAUAAGGACCGGCUAAUUCCGUGCCAGCCGGCGCGGUAAUACGGAAGGUCCGGGCGUUUUUCCGGUUUAUUGGGUUUAAAGGGAGCGUAGGCCGGAAUUUCAGCGUGCCGUGAAAUGUUGGGGCGUAAACCUGGGAGUGCCGCGCGAACUGGUGUUCUUGAGUGCGCGAAACGUAUGCGGAAUUCGUGGUGUAGCGGUGAAAUGCUUAGAUAUCACGCAGAACUCCGAUUGCGAAGGCAGCAUACCGGAGCGCUACUGACGCUGAAGCUCGAAGGCGUGGGUAUCGAACAGGAUUAGAUACCCCGGUAGUC